rnacentral:rRNA from 1 species
GACGAACGUUGGCGGCGUGCUUAAUACAUGCAAGUCAACUGAAGCAGUGGUAGCAAUAUCGCUGUGGAGGUGGCGCACGGGUGAGUAACACGUAGGUAAUCUGCCUUCAGGUCUGGCAUAACUCCGGGAAACCGGGGCUAAUAGCAGAUGAUGCAGCGGCUCGACAUCGAGACAGUUGUUAAAGCUAUGGCGCCUGAAGAUGAGCCUGCGUCUGAUUAGCUAGUUGGCGGGGUAACGGCCCACCAAGGCAACGAUCAGUAGCUGGUCUGAGAGGAUGAUCAGCCACACUGGAACUGAGACACGGUCCAGACUCCUACGGGAGGCAGCUGUAAGGAAUAUUGCUCAAUGGGAGAAAUCCUGAAGCAGCAACGCCGCGUGAGGGACGAAGGGCUUUUGCUUGUAAACCUCUGUAGUGAGAGAAAAAAAUCCCAAUCUUUGGGACAUGAUGGUAUCUCAAAAGUAAGCCCCGGCUAACUACGUG